rnacentral:rRNA from 1 species
UACGGGGGGAGCAAGCGUUGUUCGGAUUUACUGGGCGUAAAGGGCGCGUAGGCGGUCAGCACAAGUCAGUUGUGAAAUCUCCGGGCUUAACUCGGAAAGGUCAACUGAUACUGUGCGACUAGAGUGCGGAAGGGGCAACUGGAAUUCUCGGUGUAGCGGUGAAAUGCGUAGAUAUCGAGAGGAACACCUGCGGCGAAGGCGGGUUGCUGGGCCGACACUGACGCUGAUGCGCGAAAGCCAGGGGAGCGAGCAGG